GAUGACGCUAGCGGGAGGCCUAACACAUGCAAGCCGAGCGGUAGAUUAUCUUCGGAUAAUUGAGAGCGGCGUACGGGUGAGUAUCGCGUAUGUAACUUGCCUUAUAGAAUGGGAUAGCCCGGAGAAAUUCGGAUUAAUACCGUAUAUAAAAUUAGAUGGCAUCAUUUAGUUUAGAAAGAUUUAUCGCUAUAAGAUAGACAUGCGUAAGAUUAGAUAGUUGGUGAGGUAACGGCUCACCAAGUCGAUGAUCUUUAGGGGUCCUGAGAGGGAGAUCCCCCACACUGGGACUGAGACACGGCCCAGACUCCUACGGGAGGCAGCAGNGAGGAAUAUUGNACAAUGGGNUAUCGCCUGAUCCAGCCAUCCCGCGUGCNNGAUGACGNCCUUAUGGGUNGNNAACNGCUUCCA
rnacentral:rRNA from 1 species